GACGAACCGUCCAAACGUUAUUCGGAAUCACUGGGCUUACAGAGUUCGUAGGCGGUCUGGAAAGUUGGGUGUGAAAUCCCUCGGCUCAACCGAGGAACUGCGCUUGAAACUACCAGGCUCGAGGGAGAUAGAGGAAAGCGGAACUGAUGGUGGAGCGGUGAAAUGCGUUGAUAUCAUCAGGAACACCGGUGGCGAAGGCGGCUUUCUGGGUCUUACCUGACGCUGAGGAACGAAAGCCAGGGGAGCGAACGGG
rnacentral:rRNA from 1 species